rnacentral:ncRNA from 1 species
GGUCAUGAGUCUCAGUUCAUAGCCCCGGCUAACUGAGCGGCAACCCUCCACCACGGUGGGGUGCUCCGGGUGAAGACCAGGUUGAUUGCAAAGUGCAAUCAGCAAGCGUGGGUC